UACGGAGGGUGCGAGCGUUGUCCGGAAUGACUGGGCGUAAAGGGCGCGUAGGCGGCUCAUACAGUCAGAUGUGAAAUCCCCGGGCUUAACCUGGGAACUGCAUUGGUGACUGGCAGGCUUUGAGUGUGGCAGAGGGAGGUAGAAUUCCACGUGUAGCAGUGAAAUGCGUAGAGAUGUGGAGGAAUACCGAUGGCGAAGGCAGCCUCCUGGGCCAACACUGACGCUCAUGCACGAAAGCGUGGGGAGCAAACAGG
rnacentral:rRNA from 1 species